AGAUGCGAGACUAAAGUGGCAACUUUACUUUUGAUCCAACUCUAUUUCUUUUAGGCUGUGGAGUGAAUUAUUAGUUUGACAACAACAAAAAUGUCUUUGUAAAAUCUUCGGCUUUUCACUAUUAUAGAUUUGAAAAAAUGUUGUUUAAUACGUGAACUUUCAAAAUUGGCCAUUUAAUACGUGAACUUUAUAUAUGGCAAAUUAAUACAUACAAAAAUCGUUGACUGACAAUUUUACAUAAACUUAAUCGUUGAUCAAGCCAAAAUCUACACGACGUUAUCUGACAUUAACAGACCGAUAACAGUCGUUAACUAAUCUUCGUUAGUUUCUAAUACGACGUUGUUUCGAGUAUCGCGAAAACGGAAAAUGCCAUUUAAUACUCCAAUUUUCAAAUUGUGGUCAUUUUAUAUAUCAACUUCACAUGUGGCCAUUUUAUAUAUGAACUAAACGUUGACCAAUAGUUUAAAAUAUGAGAAUGCGUUGAUUAGACCAAAAAGACAUACCGCUAUCUAGACCUAGAUAUUCAGAUUUUUGUUUGGAUUCGGUUUGGAUUUAUUCAAAUACCUAGGCCUAGAUAGCGGUAUGUCUCUUUGGCCUGGUUAACACAUUCUCAUUUUUUAAACUGUUGGUCAACGUUUAGUUCAUGUAUAAAAUGGCCAUAUGUGAAGUUGAUGUAUAAAAUGACCAUAAUUUGAAAGUUGGAGUAUUAAAUGGCAUUUUUCCCGUUUUUGCGAUAAUCGAAAUGACGUCGUAUUGGAAACUAACAGAGAUUAGUUAACGGCUGUUAUCGGUCUGUUAAUGUCAGAUAACGUCGUGUAGAUUUUGGCCUGAUCAACGAUUAAGUUUGUGUAAAAUGGCCAGUCAACGAUUUUUGUAUGUAUUAAUUUACCAUAUAUAAAGUUCACGUAUUAAAUGACCAUUUUUUUAAAGUUCACGUAUUAAACGACAUUUUUCCCGUUAUAGAUUGAGGUAUAAAGGGACGAAAAGUAAAAAUUUGUGUUUAUGAGAGUUAUGUUCAGUGUUGAUAUGAUCAGUGAACUAGAAGAUAUUACGUCACCA
rnacentral:sRNA from 1 species